CAGCGCCACUAGUGGGAAUCGCUAUUAUUGGGCCUAAAGCGUUCGUAGCCGGACUGAUCAAUCCUUUGUGAAAUCGUAGAGCUCAACUCUGCGGCGUGCAGGGGAGACUGUCAGACUAGGGACCGGGAGGAGCAAGAGGUAUUCUUUGGGGAGCGGUAAAAUGCUAUAGUCCAAAGAGGACCACCUGUGGCGAAGGCGUCUUGCUAGAACGGAUCCGACGGUGAGGGACGAAAGCCAGGGGAGCGAUCCGGAUUAGAUACCCGAGUAGUCC
rnacentral:rRNA from 1 species